rnacentral:rRNA from 1 species
GGUGUAGGUGGCUAUAUAAGUCAGGUGUGAAAGCCCGGGGCUCAACCUCGGAAGUGCAUUUGAUACUGCAUAGCUUGAGUGCGGGAGAGGCUAUUAGAAUUCCAGGUGUAGUGGUGAAAUACGUAGAUAUCUGGAGGAAUACCGGAGGCGAAGGCGGAUGGCUGGCCCGACACUGACACUCAGACCCGAAAGCGUGGGGAUCAAACA